GGUUCAUUCUACACAUCCUGUUCAGACCUCACACACACUGCUGUUCAUUCAUGUCCUUCCUCCAGCACUGAAGCAUCAACAUGAUACUUAUAGUGUGCUUGAUUUAUUUAGCAACACCUCCAUUCUGGGUCCUUGGAGAAUCACUAAGUGACAAAGUUCAUCAGGAUCCAGCUCAUCUGAUAACAGAAGCUGAGAAAACAGUUCAACUCAACUGUUCUCACACCAUUAAUGAUUUUAGAACGAUAUUUUGGUAUCAGCAGCUGAAGGGUGAUAGUGCUCUAAAUCUUAUUGGAUAUGUGAAUUACAAAAAUCCAACCACUGAAGACCAAUAUAAAAGUCAGUUCAGCAUUGCAGGAAAUGGUGCAGAAUCCUCUACUCUUAAAUUUACAUUGAAAAGAGAACAUGUUGGGAGUACUACAGUAUAUUACUGUGCUGCCAGCAAAGCACAGUGUUAAAGAUCCUUUAAUCAGUCAUACAAAAACCUUCUGUUAAACCCUGUUACCACAACAUUAUUAGCACCUGAAUGCAUCCAUACACUUCCAAACAUGAUGUGGCCGGGGAGGCGUGGUUCAGUGAGGUCUGCGACGGGUGAGAGAGCGAGGAGACGAGCGGCUGUAAGUGAGUCAAGUGAAAAACGACUAAUACCUGUUUCUCGUUGCAGUGAUUGGUGUGGGGAGGUGAUAUAUAAGCCGGUCGAGAACAAGUGGAAAAGAGAGAGAGCUGAGGACUUGUGGGGACGUGGAGACAGGAAAUUUGGGAUUAGAGCAAUCACCUCAUCUCUUUGUAACCGAGGAUCUCAGUGUGACCCUAAAGUGUUCCCAGAUUGGAACGUCACAUGACAGCAUGUACUGGUUCAGAAAUACACCCACUGAGCCACUGGAGCAGAUUAGUGCUGGUGCAUUUCUACAUUAAAACAGUAAACUGGGAGAAGGAUUUUUUAUAAAGAAAAAUAAAUGAAAAAUAAGCAUGUUUCAGACCAUUAACGUACAAUUAGUCUUAUUUAUGAUUUUCAAUCUUAGUUUAGGGUUGAUUUGUAAAAAUUUUUUAUUAUAACCACUAGGGGUCUCCUUUGAGCCUAA